AAAAACUUCGCCGUCACCGCAAUACUCCUCUAUCCAUUGAGGUCGCACGUCUCUAAUUGCCAGCGCCAGCUCUGCAGGAAAUGGAUCUGAGGCCCCAAGCUCGCAUGUUGUUUUGAGCCGCCUAUUUCUGCCGAAGAAAUCAAUGUGCUGAUGCAUCCCGUCCUUUCUGACUGACUCAUCAUCAUCUAUGUAGAUGGAGUGAAUCAUCUUCGUCUUCGUGCAUCACGAUAUAAAAAAAAAAAAAAAAAAAAAACUCCAAGUGCACAAAGUAGCUGUCCUUGUCCAGUUCAUCGGAAUUGUGGAUUCUAGGGUCGACCAAGCCAUGACGAUGACGACGGUUAGCUGUUGUUGUUCAAUGGACUUGCGAGAAUUGUGAAGAUAGACGAAGAAUUGAAGACGUACUGCCGUUGCCAACCUCUGCAGGUGCUGGUCAUGGUUUCGACUUUUGAGAAGUAGCCGAAAAUUGUGUGGUGAUGGUUUCGACAUUUGAGAAAUAGCCGAAAAUUGUUUGUUAAAAUCCCUUGACGGCUGUUAUCUGCAGAGAAAAUAUGUGGUG
rnacentral:lncRNA from 1 species